CCUACGGGUGGCUGCAGUGGGGAAUAUUGGACAAUGGGCGAAAGCCUGAUCCAGCCAUGCCGCGAGUGUGAAGAAGGCCUUCGGGUUGUAAAGCACUUUCAGUGGGGAAGAAAGCCUUGGGGCUAAUACCCUCGAGGAAGGACAUCACCCACAGAAGAAGCACCGGCUAACUCCGUGCCAGCAGCCGCGGUAAUACGGAGGGUGCGAGCGUUAAUCGGAAUUACUGGGCGUAAAGCGCGCGUAGGCGGUCUGAUAAGCCGGUUGUGAAAGCCCCGGGCUCAACCUGGGAACGGCAUCCGGAACUGUCAGGCUAGAGUGCAGGAGAGGAAGGUAGAAUUCCCGGUGUAGCGGUGAAAUGCGUAGAGAUCGGGAGGAAUACCAGUGGCGAAGGCGGCCUUCUGGACUGACACUGACGCUGAGGUGCGAAAGCGUGGGUAGCAAACAGGAUUAGAUACCCGAGUAGUC
rnacentral:rRNA from 1 species